rnacentral:rRNA from 1 species
AGCGAACGUUAGCGGCGCGCCUAACACAUGCAAGUCGCACGAGAAAGGGGGCAACCCCCGGUACAGUGGCGCACGGGUGAGUAACACGUGGGUGAUCUGCCCAGAAGAAGGGGAUAACCUCUCGAAAGGGGGGCUAAUACCGCAUAGGACCACCGGGGCUUUGGCUCUGUGGUGAAAGGGGGCCUCUGUUUACAAGCUCCUGCUUCUGGAUGUGCCCGCGUCCCAUCAGCUAGUUGGUAGGGUAAUGGCCUACCAAGGCUACGACGGGUAGCUGGUCUAAGAGGAUGGCCAGCCACACUGGAACUGAGACACGGUCCAGACUCCUACGGGAGGCAGCAGUGGGGAAUCUUGCGCAAUGGGCGAAAGCCUGACGCAGCGACGCCGCGUGGGUGACGAAGGCCUCGGUUGUAAGCCU